AUGAAGUGCUCCAAAUCUUCCAGUCUUGGUAUCGUCGAAGCUGAAAUUUGCAACGCUGCUGAGCUUGGAAGCGGUGGGCAAAGUGGUGGAUUCCCCACUGAAGCCGGUGUGUUCCAAGUUUGCUCUGAAGCUACCAGUGGAUGGACCAUGUAUUUUUGUCAAAUUAUUAAUGAUGCCUCUGUAGUUCUUCGUGAUUUAAUACAACAAUUCCUCCUAUACUAUUUAGUGGCUGAAAAUUUUCAUUGUUAUCAAGAGCUUACUUUUAUUCUUAGUAAUUCAUACGACACAGUUCUGGCUAUUGAAGCUGUCCUAUUGACAACUGUUGCUGUUUCAUAUGAUACUCUCUUGACAGUAGGAACCUGA
rnacentral:rRNA from 1 species